rnacentral:rRNA from 1 species
UCGAGGGGCAUCAGUUUGGUUUGCUUGCAAACCAAAGCUGGCGACCGGCGCACGGGUGAGUAACGCGUAUGCAACCUGCCCGAUACCGGGGUAUAGCCCAUGGAAACGUGGAUUAACACCCCAUAGUACUUUUAUCCUGCAUGGGAUGUGAGUUAAAUGUUCAAGGUAUCGGAUGGGCAUGCGUCCUAUUAGUUAGUUGGCGGGGUAACAGCCCACCAAGACGAUGAUAGGUAGGGGUUCUGAGAGGAAGGUCCCCACAUUGGAACUGAGACACGGUCCAAACUCC